rnacentral:tRNA from 1 species
GGGCAUGUGGCUCAGUGGUAGAGUGCUUGCCUAGCAUGCAUGAAGCCCUGGGUUCAAUUCCUCAGUACCA